UACGGAGGGUGCGAGCGUUGUCCGGAAUCACUGGGCGUAAAGGGCGCGUAGGUGGCGGAGCAAGUCAACGGUGAAAGCUCGACGCUCAACGUCGAGUCGGCCGUCGAGACUGCUUUGCUCGAGCACUGUAGAGGCAGAUGGAAUUCCGGGUGUAGCGGUGGAAAUGCGUAGAGAUCCGGAAGAACACCGGUGGCGAAGGCGGUCUGACUGGGGUUGCGCCGGACGCUGAGACGACGAAA
rnacentral:rRNA from 1 species